UUAUUGAUCCAAUAAGGGCGGAAGUUCCUGCUGUAAUGGCAACGCAAACCGGCUUUUUCUCUCUUUUUUGUGCUUGAAUACUGAGGCUUGCACUUCACUACAGGCUUUACAGCUUAUAAUGUCUGGACCGGGCUGCCAUCUAGCGUACAGUAGCUAGACAAUUACAAGAAAAUAGGAGGGAAUCAUUUAUUGUUAGCGGGUAUUUUGCAUAUCGUUACUUAGGAUUUUUUAUGUUUUGUGAGAUUUGCUUGUUUUAUGUAAUUAAAAAAAAAAUUAUUGAUUGAAUGUCGGGAAACUCAUUUCAAUGCGAAUGAUUGAUGUGCGAAGUUAUUCAGAACAUUUAUCACAACUUUGAUUAUUAGAUCCGAAGCAGUCUUUUUAAAAUUAUUAGUUUUUGUGAAAAUACCGAUAUUUACAGAAUAUUAGAUAGAAGACGUUAGAUGAACACAAAUACUGACAAAUUACAGAGAAACAUUUAGGAAGUUAGACGUCAGGGAGGAUGAGAACACCGCGAAGCGGCUGCGUUGUUUGGUGAAAGAGUGUUUGCGCCGGGUUUAGUUUGCCCUCGUCCCUUCUCUAAGCGCUCCGCAAACGCACCGCUCUGCCCUCUGUGCUCUGGAAAAAAGGUGAAACGAACGGGAUUAAAUCAGACAAAGGGCAAACUUCUGUAAGUGUAUCAUCAAGAUUUUACUCCACAGACAGGGAAGAGAGCGAGGGAGAGGCGAGAGAGAGGGAGAGGCGCAGCGAAUGGGAACGCAAGUCGCAGGCAGCAGGGCAGCAGCGCGAGAGGAGAGGAGCAGAGGGAGAAGUGCACACCGCUGCAGUGACACGCCGCUCCAGUGCUGCGCCGCCGUUUCCUGGAAUUCCGCUCUUAUCGCACAGGUUUGGCUAACAGUGAAACUCGAGCAGCUGCAGACCUAUGCUUCGUCUUGUCAGGUAGGAAUGUCUUGAUGUUCUUAACCACGGAAUCUCUACGGAUUGUGAGGGGCAGUUGAGAAUGUCAGUUUUCCAUCUUUGUCCAUCUUGUCAGUAUUUGAGAGAAAUCGUCCCUCGUCAUUACUGCCAUGCUGAAAUGUCAUUUUUUGACAAAGCGACUGACUAAGUGUGGGCUUUUGGACACACUUUCUGUCAUUCUUCGCAUCUGGCAGGCAGAUGAUGGAAUUUGUUCAUGAAAGCAUGUGUGUCCACCCAUACGUUCUGUUCCUGCCUCUCAUUUCAGCAUGUUCUGCGGCACAGAUAUGGAAAGCCGUGGUCACAUGGCUUAAUGACAGCUCUCUUAGUUGCUGUCUGUUUGCUAUGAAAAUACUCUGACCUCUUUGACACAAUCAAUAACUAUAAUUGUGUUGUUUAUAACUGUAACAUGAACUCAAAAUUUCAUGCUAAGACAUAUAUUAAAUAUGUUUGAGUAGGAACGAGUGUAAAUAUUGUCUGUGAGUCACUGCUGUGUAAAAGCUCUACUUGUGCUUUCUAAAUGAUCUGUUUUAUCUGUCUGCCAUCUCUGACAUUCUUCCAGCAGUAUAUAUCCUGAGGUCAUAAAGUUGGGGCUCAAAGUGGAUCGUUAAUGUUAAUGUAAAAAUGGCAGACGUAUGUAAGCGCUCACAUACAAUCACAAAAAGUCCAAACUAUGGAACCUUUAAGUCCUUUCCUCCGAGGGAACCACGAACGUGAAACUCUUUUUGGAGCAGUUUGCAACUCUUUCCCUAUCUAUCAUAACUGAACCCUUUUGCAAGCCGAGAACCCAUGAAGAACCAUAUUAAGAACCAGAACAGGCAGACGCUCUGAAAAACAAACACAGGAAGUGCUUUGCCUAUAUCUCUGUUUAUGCUCUGUCCUUCUCUCACACUGUACAAUGCGUGUGUCCUCUUUCACCUCUUUCUAUCAGCUCUAUCAGAUCUGAGGAGGAAAGAAUGCAGCCGUCAUUCCUAAACACACACAUUCCUCUAGGCUAGCUUUAUAAUAUUCCUGGCUGAAACAAAGGUUUAAUUUCAUGUGAAAUAAUCAUUUUUUAAUAACCAAUUUUUAUUCUCGGUUGUUUUCUUCCCAGGGUUCCUGUGUAAUAAGAACUGUUUUGUAUAUCAAGUUGAAUACCUGUUUAGAGACUUAAACUUUAUAAACAGCUAUAUUGUAAAUACUGAGCAUGUAUGUAUAUAAUGUUACAGAUUGAUUGGAGCAGCAAAUGGAGAUAAAUGAAUAUGUGGAAAGUACACAAGUGUAUGCUUACAUCAGGUCUCUUGUAAAACACCAGGGGAAGGUCAAUUCUUUUGUGCUGGUUUUGAGAUUUUCUUUCUCAUUGUGAUCGUGUGUACAUUUUACACCAGAAAUGUUUUUCUUGAUAGUUUGUAUUAAUGUAUGCUUAUGUAGAAAUUUGUAUACAUAGUAACUGUAAAUGUAGUAAUGAUAAACUCUGUUUUUUUAUUCUAAAUAAAAUACAAAGGCAAAAGAAAAAAGUGACAAAACAUAAAGGAAGAGGAAAAGAUGAAAGAAAUAACAAAAAGCAUUUGCAAAAAAAAAAAAGAAAAAGAGGGAAAAAAAAAGUAAGUAAGAAUAAAGAUGAAUUAAUUCAGCCACAUCUUUUAUUAUCCUAAUCAUGACUGCACAGUAUGUGGCUGCUAAAUAUCUCCUCAUAUUACAAAAUGAUAAUUGGCUUACUUAAUGUUCACUGUUAUCGUUUGAUGCUAAUGCCAAUUCUGACAGAGCACAGAGAAGGAGCAUGGUACCACUUGGUCCCGCGUUGUGUCCUGCGUUUUUUCCUUCUAGGUAUUUGCGACUCGCUCGUGCCAGCCAGAACAAAAGCUUUGCCUCUUCAUCUAUCAGAGCACGGUUAAAGGUAAGUGGCACCCCCUAUUAGGAUGACAAGGAAAUUAAUGGUACAGUCUGUCCCCUGGUUCUUUAUUACUUAUUUAUAGGUUAACACCCUUUCCUUGCUUUGGGCAUGUCUGUUACAAUUUUAUGAGAACCCAGGUGAACAUCACAUACACCUGAGAUAAUACUGGCAUGAAAGCAGACACACAGUGUAUUGCUCAUUUAAAAAAAAAAAAAAAAAAAGAUGUUGUCAUGGAGCCUUUAAUGUAUUUGUACAGGACACUACUGGAGGAAACAUCAUGUAUUUGAAUAAAAUAAACUGACCAUAAGCACCUACAACUCGUCGUUUCAUUUUUCCCCCCCCAUUUCUGGAGUCUUCCUUUUGUCUGGUAUCUCAUGGUUUAUCGAGGGCAUUAUUGUGUACAGCUCUCAAAGGACCAAGAUGCUUCCCUUUGUGGAUCACGUGGCCCGAUCAUGUGUGUAGUUAUGAAUUUCUUAUUGGCUGGCAACAAUGUGGCAUGUAUUACUGGAUUUUUUAUGGGUUGGGGUGGGGUGUCUAUGGGCAUAACCUUUGUAUAGGAGCAUAGCUAAGCUUUUAACCAUUUGUGGUGAUGAGGGGACCACAGCCCUAAUUUUGUGGGUGAUGACACCUGCCCUUUUCAGCAGGCUGCAGGAGAAGCCAUGGGAAUGCUCGCACGCAACAGAGGGUCUGAAUAUUGGAACAAUGUGCGUGAAUGUGCUGCCACAUGAACAAUGCAACACCACAUGGUGAGGUGAUGGUGGGUGGAAAAGAGAUCGCUGUUUUCAAUGCCCACCCCCACUGUGAUUCCCCUCUCUCUUUCUCCUUCUCCUCCUGUAUUCCCCUCCUCUUUAGUGGACCUUCCUAUAAAUCUUUUCUGUCAUACCUGUUUUUGGUACAGUGUGAAUAAGUAAACAGCAAAUCCCAAUGUCCUGCCUUUAUGGGGACACAGCCCGGUAGACACAAGGCUUACUGGAUACAGGAUUAUGGCCUGUAUCAUGCAGUAGCUGUAUUUAUAAUCUGUCUUUCAUCCCUCUGUGUUCACACACAGGACUAUGGGGUUGCAGCUGUGUGGCAGCUGCCUUUACUGUGUGUCUAGCCUUGUAUGGAUCUUGCCUUGUAAGUCUGUGUAUGUGUGUUGUGCCAGAGUGUGUUGUGCGAGCCCUGUCCCUUGGGGCUUUCUCCCUGAGCCCAGACUCUCUGAUUCGGUGUGUAAAAGCGCCUCUGAAUGAUGGAUUACAGUGUCACCGCAGCCUGCGAAGGAUUAAUUUGUUUCAUUGAUUUCUCUUUAGGCAGAAAGCCAGCGUUUGCCGCUUCCCACCUCCUUCCCAGAGACUCCCAGUCGUAAUAGACGGUAAUGGCCUAAGACAAAUCAACCCGUUUCUUGUAAAAAUAGCAGCAAAUAACCUCUGACUUCAUGUCAUGAGAAGAAGCAGAGAGGUGCUAGGUUCUGAAGGCCUCACAAUGGGCAUGGACCCUCACAAGGAGGCAUGGGCCGUAUCUGAUCGAAGCCGUGAGUCUGGAAUACUUAUGGUUUUCGACUCUAGAUGGAUUGGUAAUGAUCAUCUGUCUGGGUUCUCGGGUUAAUCCUGGUUUUCCAUCUCGUGAUGACUCAAGC